rnacentral:rRNA from 1 species
CUUUCUUUGCUGGCGACCGACGCACGGGUGAGUAACACGUAUCCAACCUGCCCUUUACUCGGGGAUAGCCUUUCGAAAGAAAGAUUAAUACCCGAUAGUAUAAUGAUUCCGCAUGGUUUCAUUAUUAAAGGAUUCCGGUAAAGGAUGGGGAUGCGUUCCAUUAGGUUGUUGGUGAGGUAACGGCUCACCAAGCCUUCGAUGGAUAGGGGUUCUGAGAGGAAGGUCCCCCACAUUGGAACUGAGACACGGUCCAA